CCUACGGGUGGCAGCAGUGAGGAAUAUUGGUCAAUGGACGAGAGUCUGAACCAGCCAAGUAGCGUGAAGGAUGACUGCCCUAUGGGUUGUAAACUUCUUUUAUAUGGGAAUAAAAUGUUCCACGUGUGGGAUUUUGUAUGUACCAUAUGAAUAAGGAUCGGCUAACUCCGUGCCAGCAGCCGCGGUAAUACGGAGGAUCCGAGCGUUCUCCGGAUUUAUUGGGUUUAAAGGGAGCGUAGGUGGAUUGUUAAGUCAGUUGUGAAAGUUUGCGGCUCAACCGUAAAAUUGCAGUUGAAACUGGCAGUCUUGAGUACAGUAGAGGUGGGCGGAAUUCGUGGUGUAGCGGUGAAAUGCUUAGAUAUCACGAAGAACUCCGAUUGCGAAGGCAGUUCACUGGACUGCAACUGACACUGAGGCUCGAAAGUGUGGGUAUCAAACAGGAUUAGAUACCCGUGUAGUC
rnacentral:rRNA from 1 species